GGAUGUGAGGGCGAUCUAGCUGUGACAUCUGUCACAGGGUAUAUUUGGCUCUGCUGGCUGACUAGGUGGGUGUCGCCUUUCUCCCUCACCACUCCAUGUGUGUCCUCCCAAAGCUAUGUGCUUGGUCUAAGAGGAUGACCUUCCCUGAUAGAGGAGGACUGUUCCUUGGUCAAGAGCUGCACUCUUCUGCUAGAUCCUCCACACAAGCUCUCAAGUGCUAUAGCUAUUUUAACCUUGGGAUAACUGUCUAUGGCUUUUCUCUUCCUUCCAGAACAUGCAUUCAUAACAUGGAGAUGAUUCCUGUCAUCUCCAUGUU
rnacentral:snRNA from 1 species